CUUCAAGCGUCAAGCCCACCACCACCAAUUUUAUUAAUUUCUCGUACCACAAUUAACCCUCCACCCCUAUUGAACGACCCCAUAAACUAUGGGAGCCACCCUGUUUGAACUAGUAAUAAGAAUUUGAAAUUCUCCUAGAUGUAAGUAUAAGCCGCCCAAUCGGACACCCCAACGGCAAUUAAUGUAUAAUAAAACCACUGCAACAACCACUAUAAAAAACUUGCAAUAACAAACGUUAACCUAACACAAGAACAUCCCAGAAAAGAUUAAAAAAGAAAGAAGGAACUCGGCAAACCUAAACCCCGCCUGUUUACCAAAAACAUCGCCUCUUGAUAAACUAUAAGAGGUCCAGCCUGCCCAAUGAUUAAUUAAAUGGCCGCGGUACCCUAACCGUGCAAAGGUAGCAUAAUAACUUGUCCUUUAAUUGAGGACUUGUAUGAACGGCACCACGAGGGUUGAACUGUCUCCUCUCUUUAAUCAAUGAAACUGACCUCCCCGUGAAAAGGCGGGGAUUUUUAUACAAGACGAGAAGACCCCAUGGAGCUUUAGACCUAAAGCAUAUUCAAACCCAAACUUCACCAUAAACCCAGAAUUCCUGACUCCAAGUCUUAGGUUGGGGCGACCAUGGAGUAAAACUUAACCUCCAUUUCGAACGGACAAUUAAUCCUAAUCUAAGAACUACAAUUCUAAGAAUCAAAAACUGACGCCCACUGACCCAAAAUUUGAUCAUCGAACCAAGUUACCCUGGGGAUAACAGCGCUAUCCACCUCAAAAGCCCCUAUCGACAGGUGGGUUUACGACCUCGAUGUUGGAUCAGGGUAUCCAUGUGGUGCAGCCGCUACAUAAGGUUCGUUGUC
rnacentral:rRNA from 1 species